GUUGACCUCGGAUCAGGUAGGAAUACCCGCUGAACUUAAGCAUAUCAAUAAGCGGAGGAAAAGAAACCAACAGGGAUUCCCCUAGUAACGGCGAGUGAAGCGGGAACAGCUCAAAUUUGAAAUCUGGCCUUCGGGUCCGAAUUGUAAUUUGUAGAGGAUGCUUUUGGUUAGGUACUUUCCGAGUUCCCUGGAACGGGACGCCUUAGAGGGUGAGAGCCCCGUACGGUUGGAUACCGAGCCUCUGUAAAGCUCCUUCGACGAGUCGAGUAGUUUGGGAAUGCUGCUCUAAAUGGGAGGUAAAUUUCUUCUAAAGCUAAAUACCGGCCAGAGACCGAUAGCGCACAAGUAGAGUGAUCGAAAGAUGAAAAGCACUUUGAAAAGAGGGUUAAAUAGCACGUGAAAUUGUUGAAAGGGAAGCGUUUAUGACCAGACUUUUUCCAGGCGGAUCAUCCGGUGUUCUCACCGGUGCACUUCGCCUGGUUGAGGCCAGCAUCGGUUUUUGUAGGGGGAUAAAAACAGUAGGAAUGUGACUCCCCCCGGGAGUGUUAUAGCCUAUUGUAUAAUACCCCUACGGAGACCGAGGUUCGCGCUCUGCAAGGAUGCUGGCGUAAUGGUCAUCAACGACCCGUCUUGAAACACGGACCAAGGAGUCGAACAUUUGUGCGAGUGUUUGGGUGUUAAACCCUCACGCGUAAUGAAAGUGAACGGAGGUGAGAGCCCUUACGGGUGCAUCAUCGACCGAUCCUGAUGUUUUCGGAUGGAUUUGAGUAAGAGCAUAACUGUUCGGACCCGAAAGAUGGUGAACUAUGCGUGGAUAGGGUGAAGCCAGAGGAAACUCUGGUGGAGGCUCGCAGCGGUUCUGACGUGCAAAUCGAUCGUCAAAUCUGCGCAUGGGGGCGAAAGACUAAUCGAACCAUCU
rnacentral:rRNA from 1 species